UACGUAGGGUGCGAGCGUUAAUCGGAAUUACUGGGCGUAAAGUGUGCGCAGGCGGCAGAGCAAGUCGAGUGUGAAAGCCCCGGGCUUAACUUGGGAAUUGCGCUCGAAACUACUUUGCUGGAGUGUGGCAGAGGAAGGUGGAAUUCCACGUGUAGCGGUGAAAUGCGUAGAGAUGUGGAGGAAUACCGAUGGCGAAGGCAGCCCCCUGGGAUAACACUGACGCUCAUGCACGAAAGCGUGGGGAGCAAACGGG
rnacentral:rRNA from 1 species